rnacentral:rRNA from 1 species
GACGAACGCUGGCGGCGUGCCUAAUACAUGCAAGUGGGACGCAAGGGAACACACUGUGCUUGCACACCGUGUUUUCUUGAGUCGCGAACGGGUGAGUAACGCGUAGGUAACCUGCCUAUUAGCGGGGGAUAACUAUUGGAAACGAUAGCUAAUACCGCAUAAUAUUAAUUAUUGCAUGAUAAUUGAUUGAAAGAUGCAAGCGCAUCACUAGUAGAUGGACCUGCGUUGUAUUAGCUAGUUGGUAAGGUAAGAGCUUACCAAGGCGACGAUACAUAGCCGACCUGAGAGGGUGAUCGGCCGCACUGGGACUGAGACACGGCCCAGACUCCUACGGGAGGCAGCAGUAGGGAAUCUUCGGCAAUGGACGAAAGUCCGACCGAGCAACGCCGCGUGAGUGAAGAAGGUUUUCGGAUCGUAAAGCUCUGUUGUAAGUCAAGAACGUGUGUGAGAGUGGAAAGUUCACACAGUGA